rnacentral:lncRNA from 1 species
GUCGAUGGCUUUAUUGAGUCUCUUAGAAAGGAUCAGGUCCAAAUUUAGCUUAUUUUUUAUGUAGUUCUCAUUAAACCUAAACAUAAUAUGAGUUCUACAAAAUUUAAAUAAGUAGGACAAAAUAUGUGAUGCCUGGGAAACAGGCUAUGGAAGUAUUAACAUUCUAUGAAAAUUUAAAGAUAGAUAUGGUUCCAACUGUGUGGG